rnacentral:rRNA from 1 species
UACGGGGGGAGCAAGCGUUGUUCGGAUUUACUGGGCGUAAAGGGCGGGUAGGCGGCCACCGCAAGUCAGUUGUGAAAUCUCUGGGCUUAACCCAGAAAGGUCAACUGAUACUGCGGGGCUAGAGUGCAGAAGGGGCAACUGGAAUUCCCGGUGUAGUGGUGAAAUGCGUAGAGAUCGGGAGGAACACCCGUGGCGAAGGCGGCUCACUGGGCCGGUCCUGACGCUGAGACGCGAAGGCGUGGGGAGCGAACGGG